GAUGAACGCUGGCGGCGUGCCUAAUACAUGCAAGUCGAGCGAACAGAUGAGGAGCUUGCUCCUCUGACGUUAGCGGCGGACGGGUGAGUAACACGUGGAUAACCUACCUAUAAGACUGGGAUAACUUCGGGAAACCGGAGCUAAUACCGGAUAAUAUAUUGAACCGCAUGGUUCAAUAGUGAAAGACGGUUUUGCUGUCACUUAUAGAUGGAUCCGCGCCGCAUUAGCUAGUUGGUAAGGUAACGGCUUACCAAGGCAACGAUGCGUAGCCACCUGAGAGGGUGAUCGGCCACACUGGAACUGAGACACGGUCCAGACUCCUACGGGAGGCAGCAGUAGGGAAUCUUCCGCAAUGGGCGAAAGCCUGACGGAGCAACGCCGCGUGAGUGAUGAAGGUCUUCGGAUCGUAAAACUCUGUUAUUAGGGAAGAACAAAUGUGUAAGUAACUAUGCACGUCUUGACGGUACCUAAUCAGAAAGCCACGGCUAACUACGUG
rnacentral:rRNA from 1 species